AGUGAACGCUGGCGGUAGGCCUAACACAUGCAAGUCGAACGGCAGCACAGUAAGAGCUUGCUCUUACGGGUGGCGAGUGGCGGACGGGUGAGGAAUACAUCGGAAUCUACUUUUUCGUGGGGGAUAACGUAGGGAAACUUACGCUAAUACCGCAUACGACCUACGGGUGAAAGCAGGGGAUCUUCGGACCUUGCGCGAUUGAAUGAGCCGAUGUCGGAUUAGCUAGUUGGCGGGGUAAAGGUCCACCAAGGCGACGAUCCGUAGCUGGUCUGAGAGGAUGAUCAGCCACACUGGGACUGAGACACGGUCCAGACUCCUACGGGAGACAGCAGUGGGGAAUAUUGGGCAAUGGGCGCAAGCCUGAUCCAGCCAUACCGCGUGUGUGAAGAAGGCCUUCGGGUUGUAAAGCCCUUUUGUUGGGAAAGAAAAGCAGCAGGUUAAUACCCCGCUGUUCUGACGGUACCCAAAGAAUAAGCACCGGCUAACUUCGUG
rnacentral:rRNA from 1 species